rnacentral:rRNA from 1 species
GAUGAACGCUGGCGGCGUGCCUAAUACAUGCAAGUCGAGCGAACGGACGAGAAGCUUGCUCCUCUGAUGUUAGCGGCGGACGGGUGAGUAACACGUGGAUAACCUACCUAUAAGACUGGGAUAACUUCGGGAAACCGUAGCUAAUACCGGAUAAUAUUUUGAACCGCAUGGUUCAAAAGUGAAAGACGGUCUUGCUGUCACUUAUAGAUGGAUCCGCGCUGCAUUAGCUAGUUGGUAAGGUAACGGCUUACCAAGGCAACGAUGCAUAGCCGACCUGAGAGGGUGAUCGGCCACAUUGGAACUGAACCACGCCCCAAACUCCUAGGGGAGGCAGAAGUAGGGAAUCUUCGGCAAUGGGCGAAAGCCUGACGGAGCAACGCCGCGUGAGUGAUGAAGGUCUUCGGAUCGUAAAACUCUGUUAUUAGGGAAGAACAUAUGUGUAAGUAACUGUGCACAUCUUGACGGUACCUAAUCAGAAAGCCACGGCUAACUACGUG